rnacentral:rRNA from 1 species
UACGUAGGUGGCAAGCGUUGUCCGGAAUUAUUGGGCGUAAAGCGCGCGCAGGUGGUUUCUUAAGUCUGAUGUGAAAGCCCACGGCUCAACCGUGGAGGGUCAUUGGAAACUGGGGAACUUGAGUGCAGGAGAGAAGAGUGGAAUUCCACGUGUAGCGGUGAAAUGCGUAGAGAUGUGGAGGAACACCAGUGGCGAAGGCGACUCUUUGGCCUGUAACUGACACUGAGGCGCGAAGGCGUGGGGAGCAAACAGG